rnacentral:rRNA from 1 species
UACAGAGGUCUCAAGCGUUGUUCGGAAUCACUGGGCGUAAAGGGUGCGUAGGCGGUUCGUUAAGUCUGUUGUGAAAGCCCCGGGCUCAACCUGGGAAUGGCAAUGGAUACUGGCGAGCUAGAGUGUGUCAGAGGAUGGUGGAAUUCCCGGUGUAGCGGUGAAAUGCGUAGAGAUCGGGAGGAACACCGGUGGCGAAGGCGGGUCUCUGGGCCGAAAUUGACGCUGAGGAGCGAAAGCGUGGGGAGCAAACAGG